rnacentral:rRNA from 1 species
ACUCAAAAAAAGAAUUUUAGUUCUACUGAAAGUCCUUUCAAUUCGCAAAAAUGAGCCCGAGACUUUUAUGCUACUCAAAUAAGGUACAGCUUAUUUGAGACAGGGUACAACCUCCACUCCUGGGUAAGCCAUUCUAUUCAACGUAAAUUUGUAGGCCUAAAAGCAGCCAUCCACUACAGCGUCAAAGCUUAUUUACGUCUCAAGACCAAUAACUUAACCUUUCCCGAGCCCUCCACCAGUAUUGAGUAAUUCUAUGCUCAAUCAUAGAACCUUUAAUGUUAAAACUAGUAACAAGAAGCUAGCCUUCUCUAAAAUGUAUGCGUAAAUCAGACCUGAACCCAGCGCUGAUCAUUAACAGCUUUAUACCAGAGAAACAACUUUUCAAGUAAAAUCUUCUGCAUAGUCUGUUAAUCUAACACAAGCACAUUUCAAGAAAGAUUAAAAGAAAAUGAAGGAACUCGGCAAAUCACAACCUCGCCUGUUUACCAAAAACAUCGCCUCUUGAAAUAUAUAAGAGGUCCAGCCUGCCCAGUGACUUGUUCAACGGCCGCGGUAUCCUAACCGUGNGAAGGUAGCGUAAUCACUUGUCUUUUAAAUAAAGACUAGUAUGAAAGGCAUCACGAGGGUUAAACUGUCUCCCUUUUCUAAUCAGUGAAACUAAUCUUCCCGUGAAGAAGCGGGAAUUUCCCUAUAAGACGAGAAGACCCUAUGGAGCUUUAAACCGUAAGUUACUUGCCGCCCACCUAUAUAUUUCAGAAAUUUAACAACUUAGGCUUUUUAACCAAACGUUUUAGGUUGGGGUGACCUAGGAGAAAAAAUUACCCUCCUAGCUGAUAUGGGCUAACCCUUAAGAAAAAGCUACAACUCUAACUACCAAUAAAUUGACAUUAAUUGACCCAGUCCGCUGAGCAACGAACCAAGUUACCCUAGGGAUAACAGCGCAAUCUACUUCAAGAGUUCCUAUCGACAAGUGGGUUUACGACCUCGAUGUUGGAUCAGGGUGUCCGAGUGGUGCAGCCGCUACUAAAGGUUCGUUUGUUCAACGAUUAAAACCCU